UAAUUUAUGAACCCUUAGAAUGUUCAUAUUCUUCUGGUAAUUAUGAUUCUUA
rnacentral:sRNA from 1 species